GAUGAACGCUGGCGGCGUGCCUAACACAUGCAAGUCGAACGGAGUCGUUUUGGAAAUCUCUUCGGAGAUGGAAUUCUCGACUUAGUGGCGGACGGGUGAGUAACGCGUGAGCAAUCUGCCUUUAAGAGGGGGAUAACAGUCGGAAACGGCUGCUAAUACCGCAUAAAGCAUUAAAUUCGCAUGUUUUUGAUGCCAAAGGAGCAAUCCGCUUUUAGAUGAGCUCGCGUCUGAUUAGCUAGUUGGCGGGGUAACGGCCCACCAAGGCGACGAUCAGUAGCCGGACUGAGAGGGUGAACGGCCACAUUGGGACUGAGACACGGCCCAGACUCCUACGGGAGGAAGCAGUGGGGAAUAUUACGCAAUGGGGGAAACCCUGACGCAGCAACGCCGCGUGAUUGAAGAAGGCCUUCGGGGUGUAAAGAUCUUUAAUCAGGGACGAAACAAAUGACGGUACCUGAAGAAUAAGCUCCGGCUAACUACGUG
rnacentral:rRNA from 1 species